UAUGUAAAGCCAGCAUUCAAGUUUUUAGCAAAGAUUAUGACUAACCAUAUUCAUAAUAACACUUAGAUCUCAUGUUUACUCAUAUUAAUAGCAUAAUCAACUAGCGAGCAAUUGAACAUAUAAAUCUUGCUAGACUACCCGCUCAUCUGGGGGCAUCGCACGAUCUACCUCGUUGGCGCAUUGUCAAAGAUCCAGCCGCCGUUUCUAUAGACAUUGCUAUUUCGUGCUAUAGCUGAUGACAUGUGGGGAUCCUCCUUUCCUAGCAGGCCCAUCUCUGCUGUGUCUGUUUGUGUGUGCCUCUUGGGUGAGAGAAGAGGGAGACGUGGGGUGGAUCGUGGUGGCGCCGCCUGCGCUUUCUCCUCCCUGCUCUCCACUAGGCCGCCUCCUACCCUUCACUUUUCUCUCCGGCGACGGCGACGGCGACGACCUGCAGACAAAAGGAGAAGGCGGUGACGGCGGGAGAGAGAAGAUGAGAGGGAGAGAGAAAAGGAAGGAGAGGAGGGAGAAAGAGAGAGGAAAGAGGAGAGGCCUUGGUGGUCCAGGGAGGCGUAUACGUAGAUGGCAGCCUCCGCCCUGAGCUCCAUCGGAUCCGCCGCCUUGUGAAGUCAUCCCAGGCCCCACGAACUCCAGGCUUCUGGCGCCGCCUGCAAGUCCUUGGGGAUAAGUAGGAGGAGUCACGGAUGAGGAGGAAGGAGAUCAGCAGCAGCAGGAGAUAUUCUUGUUCGAUUUGGUUCUCAUGGUGGCAUCUUCCCUACUGUCUCCUUUCUUUUUAGUUUCCAACUUUGAUGCUUGGAUUUGUUGUCUUGGCCAGCUAGCUGGAGUAGGAGGAGAGGAGACAGGCAGGAUGAGAAAGGAGACAAGCAGGAGGAAGAGAGAUUCUUGGGGGUUUGCUUUGCUCGCCUUAUGGAACAGGCUCUUCUGCGGGCAUCAGUUGCUUUGGAAUUGUUCAGAAUCGUUUGCUAUCAUGUAUACUAAGUGCGUAACUACUUUGGGGAAACAUGCUAGGAUUUGGAGUGCCAUGGCUUCCAAUCUUAAAAAUCAGCCGUGAAUGGUUUUCAACAAGAAACUUCAUGCUCACAAAGAGAGUUAUGGAGAUCAGGAGUAGAAAUUUUAUUAGUUUGUGCUCCGGGAGGAAUUGCAGCUGCGGACAAUUAGAUGAUUGCCAUGGAGGCUUGCAGAACCAGUGGUUACCUUGGCUGUGGCCUGCGAGGGGUGUGGCUUGCUGAAAAAUAGGUUUUUUUGGUAGCUCCAGGUAUACAGGUAUUACAUUUGAAAUGAAGCUUUUAAUGUCAUUUUUUUUCCACAUCUGAAUGAUUCUGAAUGUAUCCAAGUCUAUUCUCUACAAGUCAGAUUCUUGAUUCCUCUAAAUUUGCCUUAUUUGAAACACACAAAAUCAAUAUCGUAGAUAAAUAAAAUAUUCCAGGUAAGUUUCCAUUCAUAGGAUCAUCAGCUCCAUUCUCUUUGGUCGUAAUGCUAGGCUGCAGGUUGAUAUCUUAAUUGGUAGUCUACCAGGUUCUUCAAUUCUUUCUUAAGUUCUCUAUACUGAAGCAGCUAGGAUGGCAAGGCAUUUCGUUGAAGCUCUCAUCUUGAUAAUAGUUAUAUGAUGUCUACUAUGUGUUUUGCUUAGGUUUGUCAUGGAAGUACUCUCUAUUCUCUAACUUUCUCAGUCGAUGCAAAUGUAAGUUUCUUGAGUGAAGUCAAGUUUGCUUAGUGAUAUGCAUAUCUUUGUCACUGAGGAUCGGUCUAAAAAAGUAAAAGAGUGAAGAUCAGUUUCAGUCAGUGACAAAUAACGUGAAAUCAUACAUGGCAAACUAACAAGCGAUACAUCGUGCCGUGUCCCAGUCCUACUGUUCAUUACCAAUUACACUGUUUUUCUGACAAUCAAAGCUCAUAUUUUACAUAAAAAUGGUUAUAUUUUCCUGUCAAUCCUGCAUAGAUGCACUUCUAUUCUGAUAAAUGGGCUGUUCGCUUUAAAAGUAAGAUUCCCUUGGUAGCUUCACUUCAGUUGUAUCUCCGUACAUACAUGAGUGUUUCUUCCUUCCAUUUACAUGAGAGCAAAAUAAGGUAUGUCAAGUUAAAUCUUUGAUACAUUGUACGUGUUAACUGAAAGAGAAAUUCUAGAUGUGUACUUCCGGCCCUUUGUGUGAUUGUUCUAUGGUGAGGCUGCACCUCUUUUGUUGUCUUACGCGUGAUGUACUUGGUCAUGUGACAGCUCUUAGUUUUUUGAAUAUAGCGUCUGUCUACCAGUUGUUUCAUAUUCCUGGUUGUUUCUUUUGAUAAUUCUGUGAAUUCUUCCGAUAUUGGUUGUCCCUUAAUAUAGCACGCUUCUAUAUGCCAGUCGUUUGAUAUUUAAUUAAGUAAGGAAUUGUCAGGCUACUUGGAAGGAGUUCGUGUGAUGUCUAACCAAGUUCAGCAAGUUGCUGGAGCUGCGCUAGAGCCUGCUGUUUCAAUGAACACCUAUAACCUUAAAAAGACUCUUACAGAGGUUUAUGAUGCUAUAGCAAAACUGCAGCAACUUACUGAUGCAGUCAGUCUCUCCUUACAAAAGUAAGGCACGUAUCCAUAUUAUGUUGAGUCCAGUUCAACACAAAAUGGAUAUUCUGCUGAUGAUAUGGAUGGUGAGUAUAACAACUACUAUUAGACGAGCUCUGUCGACAUGCACCCGCCAUAGGGGCUAAUAGUGCUUAGACGUUGUGGCAUACCUUGCCUUCCUCUAUCAUGAUCAAUGUUGCUAUGCAUAAUAUAUGUUACCAAGUAGCCAUCUUGGUAAGCUAUCAACAAUAAAUUGCAAUCAAUGAUGAAUAAUAUAUGUUGUACUUGCUUAAGCCACUUUUUAUGUUGCGUAUUCUAUUUGAAUAUGCUAUGUACUCCCUCUGUAAACUAAUAUAAGAGUGUUUAGAUCACUAUUUUAGUGAUCUAAAUGCUCUCAUAUUAGUUUACGGAGGGAGUAAUAACCAGUUAAACUUCCAUCAACAGUUUUUCUAAAUCAGUAUGUGUCUGUGUGCUUGUUAUUAAUUCGAGUUUAUUAUACUUUGUGCUAAUGUCAUGGCAAUCAAGGGAUUGGACAGUUCGAUUCCACAGGUGGCUUCUCACCAAACCAGGUUGCCGUAGACACCAUCGGCUUCAAUCUCAUGGACGGCGAGGUAAUUUUUUCCUAACACCUAUUCAUCUUUGGUCAAAUGCUGCCACCGAGCUAUUUAGGCAAUAGCCAUAUUAAUGUUUGUUUCGAUCAAUUCACUGUAUUUCUGUCAUUUCAAAACUAUUACCUGUAUGUGUGUGAAAAGAAACCAGAUAUACAUGGCUUAAGAUGGAGGCUUGCACACUCAGGGUAGGUGGUCAAAGCCCUCUUCUAUUGUUGUGGCACUGGUGAGCUUGCACGGAGUAGCAGCCUGGAGAGGCGGCCGACGGUGCACUUGUGAAGCAACAAUAAACACGUCUCAUGCCAACACGCCAAGAUGAGCUUCACCCAAUCCCUCUCUCUGUAUAUAUGCAAGCUUGUGUGAUGUGCUCUGCUUCCUCCUCCCUUUUUUUAAUUAAUGGAUCUCUCACUGAGCAGAGCAUGUUGUUUAGGUUGGCAGCAUAAAUGAUAUAGCUAAGUUAUCUUCACCAAAGACAGAUUUUGGUAUGUGCAUUUGGGCCUUUCUGCCCUUCUUGUUCAAGAAAACAAGAUCCUGAUGAAUGUAAUGAUGUUGGACAAAGGGCGAUUUCUCAUGAUUGGGAGAGCCUUGCUGAUUCAUUUCGACCACAGUACCAGAACCCAGGUGAAUGCAGUUGACUCUUGAAGAUCGAGGGCACCAAAGACAUAUGCCGAGGCCGUCCAUCGACAACCUACCCAAGGUCCGGAUUCAUCGAGGAGUACAACAGGAGACGCUGUCGGCUGCCUGCAGGUCUGGAAACCACACAAUAUCUCUCAAACCCACUAUCCCCUAAUUGAUGAAUCUCCAUGCUCAGUUGGGCUACAGCUAAUUUAUCAUCGUUUCAUCUUAUUCUAUUAUGCAAACAUCCUGUUUUUCAACAAGAGAAAGAAUAUUACUCCCUCUGUUCACUUUUAUAAGGCCUUGAAGACAUUUCAGACAGGGUGCAAAGUAGCUCAUUUUCAGCUGUCUGAAAUGACUUAUAAAAGUGAACGGAGGGAGUAAGAAAUUUUGUUCAUUUUGUUGUAGCAAUAGCGACUGUAUGAACAGCAGUACUGUGUUUUUGGCUGGUUGUUCUUGUGUCUUCUGGCCAUGUGCGCUUUACCGCUUUGUUCCAAAAAAACCUGGAAUGUUUGUUCUGCUGGUACUGCUCUCUGGCUAGGACAUUUUUCUUUGAAUAACAUAAAUGAACCUAAUAUUGCUUAAUAUGUUAUAUCACAUUUUGUAUUGAUGUACUUGUGCACACCAUCUGGAUGCUUUGAAAGGUUUUACCUUGCUUUCUUUUGAUUUGAGUUGUCUUUAUGUCAAACACUAUUUGUUUUAAUAGAUUUAAUAUUUGAAGUGUCAUAAUUAAUUUUAUUUGGCAUGACUUGCAUGGUAUAAAUACAUACUAUAAGAACCCAUUUAGAGUUUAAAUGUCAGCAAGUUCUACUACCUUUUUCCAUUUGCUUUGCAUAGUUUCUAAUACAUUUAUGGCUGAUUUGAAGUUUGCACAUGUGAUGCUCUCUAUAUAAGCUAUGCAUUUGUAGUUGGAUUCUCUAUAGAGCUGAAAAUUACACUCAAAACUAUCUAUUUUUAUGAUACAUGGUCGUGUAACUGUGGAUGGAAAUCGAGUUAAGGUAAAAUGGAAAAGGGAUAAGAAAUGCAAUUUGUAUGAGCGAAAUCAUCCUGAAACAUAUGGUCGUUUAUUAUUUAUGCUUCUAUGGUAGUGAGAUCAGUUAGUAAUGUUACACAUAAUUAUUUUUUCCAGCUGUGUCCCUCACUCUGUUGAGCAUGUUUUUGUUGCACCGGUUAGUUGUUAAAGUGCAUGUAUUUCAGCCCAUCAUCAGGUUUCCACUAUUGUACAUUUCUCUUGCUACUUUGUUGUCUAAAUUAUAUUUUAGGAAACUAUUUGAACUCUUCAGCAGGCCAUUUGCUCUAUGUUGUUUCUCUUUAGGAAUUAGGAAUUUCUUCACGAUGCCACUUCCCACCUCGAAAGGCGUCGAUGUCGGCGAUCCAGUUUAUGUUCUGCAUGCAUCACUUCUUCAAAUGAAACCCCAACCUGAGCAAGGUCAUGGUAGAUUAGAUGAUAAUGUAUCUGUCUUAUGUGCGUGUGUGUCAGAACAAGUGAUCUAUUAGUUGAGCAUUAUGUAAAUUAGACUUGGCAAUAAAGCUUUGACAAGUGUAUUUGCUGUCUUAUUGUACAGUUUAUUACUAUCCAAAUUAUUCUUUGUAAACCAACUCAAAAGUUGUGAAUCGAUGAUUGCAUUUGCUAAGACAA